rnacentral:rRNA from 1 species
AAUUCGACGCAACGCGCAGACUUACCUGGUACUUGACAUCCCGGGAAUCUUGUGGAAACACGAGAGUGCCUCGCAAGACGGAGCCUGGAGACAGGUGCUGCAUGGCUGUCGUCAGCUCGUGUCGUGAGAUGUUGGGUUAAGUCCCGCAACGAGCCGCAACCCCUUAUCUUUAGUUGCCAUCAUUGAGUUGGGCACUCUAAAGAGACUGCCGGUGUCAAACCGGAGGAAGGUGGGGAUGACGUCAAGUCCUCAUGGCCUUUAUGACCAGGGCUACACACGUACUACAAUGGCCGGUACAAAGGGCAGCGACACAGCGAUGUGAAAGCCGAAUCCCGAAAAGCCGGUCUCAGUCCGGAUUGGAGUCUGCAACUCGACUCCAUGAAGUUGGAAUCGCUAGUAAUCGCGGAUCAGCACGCCGCGGUGAAUACGUUCCCGGGCCUU